UGCUUCUCCUUUCCAGACUGUAAUCGGCCGAGGAGUUGCGGUUCGGCGGAUCUUGCGGUAGAUGGCCGAAGGUGCUGCGGCUAGGGCACGGUGAAGGACCAAAUCUCGCGUCUCAUUCCACCGAAGCUUGGAGUGAUGCCCUAGUUUGGAUUUGUGCCACUCGAUUUGCCGGCGUGGGUCAGGUCUUGGAUUCCCUUGUUGAUUGUUGAUUUGAGGAUCGGAGGAAUCUUUGGUACGUUGCUUCACGGAUUCGAUCGGGUUGUGCGACAUCUUCUGGAGACUUGAGAUCAUGGACUUCUUCAUUGUUGCCGAUUGAAGUCUCAGAUUGGAGUAUACCGGAAUCUAGCAGAGAUAUGCUUGCUCUGUGGUGAUUCUAUGGUUCAGCAAAUUUCCUUGUUGCCAGCAGCAAGUUUGAUCCGAACAGAGGAGUUGAUUCCAGUAGGUUGUUCUGUUCUGUGGUGUGUUCCUGUUUCGGCAGCAACCCCAUUCCAAAAGCUCGAUCGAGGACUCUGAUUCGAGACGGGCGUCUCGACCUUGGAUCGCUUGGUUGUACCUUCUAU